rnacentral:rRNA from 1 species
AGCUUGCUCUUAUGAAGUUAGCGGCGGACGGGUGAGUAACACGUGGGUAACCUGCCCAUAAGACUGGGAUAACUCCGGGAAACCGGGGCUAAUACCGGAUAACAUUUUGAACCGCAUGGUUCGAAAUUGAAAGGCGGCUUCGGCUGUCACUUAUGGAUGGACCCGCGUCGCAUUAGCUAGUUGGUGAGGUAACGGCUCACCAAGGCAACGAUGCGUAGCCGACCUGAGAGGGUGAUCGGCCACACUGGGACUGAGACACGGCCCAGACUCCUACGGGAGGCAGCAGUAGGGAAUCUUCCGCAAUGGACGAAAGUCUGACGGAGCAACGCCGCGUGAGUGAUGAAGGCUUUCGGGUCGUAAAACUCUGUUGUUAGGGAAGAACAAGUGCUAGUUGAAUAAGCUGGCACCUUGACGGUACCUAACCAGAAAGCCACGGCUAACUACGUGCCAGCAGCCGCGGUAAUACGUAGGUGGCAAGCGUUAUCCGGAAUUAUUGGGCGUAAAGCGCGCGCAGGUGGUUUCUUAAGUCUGAUGUGAAAGCCCACGGCUCAACCGUGGAGGGUCAUUGGAAACUGGGAGACUUGAGUGCAGAAGAGGAAAGUGGAAUUCCAUGUGUAGCGGUGAAAUGCGUAGAGAUAUGGAGGACCACCAGUGCCGAAGGCGACUUUCUGGUCUGUAACUGACCACUGAGCCGC